rnacentral:rRNA from 1 species
CAGCCGCCGCGGGAAUACGAAGGGGGCUAGCGUUGUUCGGAAUCACUGGGCGUAAAGCGCACGUAGGCGGACUUUUAAGUCAGGGGUGAAAUCCCAAGGCUCAACCUUGGAACUGCCUUUGAUACUGGAAGUCUUGAGUUCGGGAGAGGUGAGUGGAACUGCGAGUGUAGAGGUGAAAUUCGUAGAUAUUCGCAAGAACACCAGUGGCGAAGGCGACUCGCUGGACAAGUACUGACGCUGAGGUGCGAAAGCGUGGGGAGCAAACAGGAUUAGAUACCCGAGUAGUCCCUGUCUCUUAUAC